rnacentral:rRNA from 1 species
AUUCUUACUAAAGAUAACCUUAUUAAGAGUAAUUGGCAUGGAAGCCGGCAAUGUGUAUUUUGUCACCAUACGGAGACAAUAAAACAUUUAUUCUUCCAAUGCAAAUUGGCUCGUUCUAUAUGGUCAGUCACCCAAAUAGCUUCUGGCUUGUAUCCUCCCUGUAGUGUUGCUAAUGUAUUUGGCAACUGGUUACAUGGUAUUGAUCACAGGUUUAGAACUCUUCUCAGGGUGGGAGCGCUUGCCGUUAUUUGGUCGCUUUGGCUAUAUAGAAAUGAUAAGGUUUUUAACGAUAAAAGUACUUCUCUAUUGCAGGUUAUCUAUAGAUGUACCGGGACUUUUCGUUUAUGGUCCUCUCUACAACGCGUGGAGAAUCGAGGCUUGUUUACGGAGGUGUGUACACGAUUGGAGGCUACGGCGAGCGAUAUUUGUACCCAACAUGGGUGGCAACAUGAUCUAAUGAUUGGCGCCCCUCCAUAUUAG